AUUGUGAGUGAAAUCUGCCACAAUAACACUCACCCUUUUGCACGCCAUAGCAAGUCUCAAGACGGACAGUGAAAAAAAAAAUGCAACCAAAAAGGAAAUGUAGAGUUUUAACAACAGACUCUAGGAUGCUGUGGCUGAUCCUGGCGUGUGUCGCUGGCCGCUCGGUAGCUCGAGCGCCACCAGACGAUCCAAACCCAGACACAGAGCCAAAUCUGGUAUACUACUCCCCAACAAACACCAGCACGAACAGCACUUACCAGCGAAAUGUGGUGGCCGUCCUGGAGUUCCUCUACAAGAACAAUCCCCCAGACGGCUAUGCAACGAGCCUUGGCUAUGGCGGCUUCCCAAACGCUGUCUACGCGCACAGUGGCUGCUACAACAUGUCCGACCAGCCGAGCUGUGGACAGUGCAUCCAGAACGCCUACACGAACAUCCAAAGUGUUAAUCUGUAUGCCGUUGGUGGUGCGAUUUGGAUCAACCAAACCUUUCAAAGGUGCCGCAUGAGAUACGAUCCUUCCAGCUUUGAGAUCGUUCCUGGUACUUUGGGCAUUGUGGGUCCAAACAUUUCAUCUCCAGCUCCAGCACCAGGUCCAGGUCUAGCUUUAGGUCCAGAUCCAGAUCCAGAUCCAGCUCCAGCUCCAGCUCCAGCUCCUCCAGAUCCAGCUCCAGCUCCUCCAGAUCCAGCUCCAGCUACUGGCAAGCAAAAUGCUGGGACGAGAAAUGGCGUGAUAGCUGGUGCUGUGGUGGGAGGAGCUGUGUUUUGUUUUGUUUGUGCUGUUCUUGGGUUCUUCUUGUUAACAAGGCGAAGAAGAGAAUCGGAGAAAUCGGAGAAAUGCGAAGACUUUGGGAUCAUCAAGGGUCUCCAUGUGGUCUUUUCUUACAAGGAUUUGUGUGCGGCGACCAGGGGGUUCUCUGUGGAAAGCAAGCUCGGUCAAGGUGGAUUUGGAACUGUUUACAAGGCCACCUUAAACAAUGGCUCGCAAGUAGCAGUGAAGAAGCUCUCGUUGCAGUCCAACCAAGGCAACAGAGAGUUCGUGAACGAGAUCACCAUUAUCACAGGAAUCCAACACCGAAAUCUUGUAAGGCUCAAAGGCUAUUGUGUCGAGGCAGAUGAAAGACUGCUCGUCUACGAGUUCCUCAACAAAGGCAGCCUUGACCGGGCGCUCUUCAGUUCUGGAUCAAAUGUGGUCCUUGACUGGCACUCACGCUUUCAAAUCGCCAUUGGGAUAGCUCGGGGUCUUGCUUACUUGCACGAGGAGUCUCAUGUUCAGAUUAUCCACAGAGACAUCAAAGCCAGCAACAUCCUCUUGGACGACAAGCUGCAGCCAAAGAUCUCCGACUUUGGGAUAUCAAAGCUCUUCGACUUGGACAAAGGCUUCGGCUUCACGAGCACAAAGGUGGCCGGCACACUUGGAUACAUGGCACCCGAGUACGCAACUCGAGGGCGAUUGACGACCAAAGCUGAUGUCUUCAGCUAUGGAAUCCUCGUCCUGGAGAUCGCCAGCGGCAGAAAGUGCGUGGAUCCGGCAUUGCCAGCCGAAGAAGAGCUCUUACUUCAACUGUCUUGGAAACUCGUCAUGGCAAACAGGAUGAGCGAAUGCAUUGACAAGAGGCUGGGCGGUGACUACGCGGUGGACGAGGUUUCUAGGCUGCUCCGUGUUGCCAUGCUGUGUACGCAAGAACAUGAGGAAGCUCGACCAACAAUGAGUGACGUUGUGGCCAUGUUGCUGGGAUAUCUCGAGAUUGGCGCUCUUCCCACCCAAGCUCCCUUUCACUUUGGCCUGGUAAUGAGCUCCUCAACGACUACAAGUAGCGAUUACUUGAAUUCCAUGGACAUGCCGCGUGAUGCUGUGGCUGAUCUUGGCAUGUGUCGCUGGCCGCUCGUUAUCUCACCAGACGAUCCAAACCCAGACACAGAGCCAAAUCUGGUAUACUACUUCCCAACAAACACCAGCGCGAACAGCACUUACCAGCGAAAUGUGGUGGCCGUCCUGGAGUUCCUCUACAAGCACAAUCCGCCAGACGGCUAUGCAGCGAGCCUUGGCUAUGGCGGCUAUGCGACGUGCCUUGGCUACAGCAGCUUUCCACACGCUGUCUACGCACACAGUGGCUGCUACAACAUGUCCGACCAGCCGAGCUGUGGACAGUGCAUCCAGGACGCCUACAUGAACAUCCAAAGCGUUCUUUGGUAUGCCACUGGUGGUGUCAUUUGGAUCAACCAGACCUUUCAAAGGUCGCAUGAGAUACGAUCCUUUCAGCUUUGCGAUCGUUCCUGGAAUCCAGAUUGCCCACCAGUGCCCUUGCGUAUCUACACGGCGGUCGCCUUUCGAUCGGAUUCGUGUCGCUGCUUGUGUUCUUGCGUGUUCUUGGUUUUCUUUGUUCGCUCUCUUCUCUCCCUUUUUAUUUGUGGCGAUCUUCUCGAAUCAGACAUCAAAGCCAGCAACAUCCUCUUGACUAGCACUUUGGAGCCCAAAAUCGCUGACUUUGGGAUCUCAAACCUCUUUGACAUCGAGAAAGGUUUCACGAGCACAAACGUGGCUGGCACUUUUAAGUUUUUAAGUUCUGCUUGGAACUUGAGCGAGGCUGGGAGAUUGGACGAGUGCGUCGAUGAGAGAGUCGGGAAUGACUAUGUCGCCAGGAAGUCCACAGAACGCUUCACGUUGCUUUGCUUUGCACCCAAGACUGGAGAGCUUCGACCGGCAAUGGGCGACGUUUUGGCGAUGUUGCUCGGCUACCUCGACCUCGGAAAUCCUGACAAAACUAGAUGUAUGAUCUAUGGCCGGGAGGGAAAUAUAGGAUUAGAGAUGAGCUGCUUGUGGUGGGUUCUUCUUCUCAUUCUUUGUUUUGGCACACGGCCUCUCGCAGCACAGCAGCAGCGACCAGUGGACGUCACGGAUCCAGGUCAACUAGCAAACGUUCUCUACUACAACACCGCCAACACCAGCGAAGGCAGCCCAUUCCAGCGAAAUCUCGACACGGUCUUCGAAUUCCUCCAGGGGUUCAAUCCCUCCAAUGGAUUUGCAACUUCUCUCGGAUAUGGUGCGUUUCCCAACAUCGCCUACGCGCACACGGCUUGCUACAACAUGUCGGACCAGCCCAGCUGCUCAUCUUGCAUCCAGCAGGCGUAUGCCAAUGCCCGAGCUAGAUUUCCAAUUGGUGCCCGUUUCUGGAGGAAUUCCACAGCAGAAAGAUGCAACAUGCGGUUCGAGAAUAGCAAUUUUACGAGAGACUUGCCAUCGGGGACGCUAGGAAUAUUGGGUCCAAAUGCCUCCGCUCCAGCUCCACCUCCAGUGGUUCCCCCUCCAACGGCUCGACCUCCUGCUAGCACUCCAGGCGGUGGCAGUGGCGGAUCAAGCAACACAGCAGCCAUUGUGGCUGGUGUUGUGGUGCCAGUGUUUUUGAUCCUGGGAGUUGCCGGACUUCUGCUCGUCAAGCGCAGAAGGUCCCGACGACGACGACGACGAGGGUUGCCUCGAGUUCCUUCUUCAGAACUGCAAAGGAGUUCGAGAGGACCCAUCGCGUUUUCUUACCGGGAUUUGUGUGAGGCCACCGAAGACUUUAGCGACCGAAACAAACUCGGACAAGGCGGAUUUGGCACCGUGUACAAGGCUUUCUUUGGCGAUGGAACCGUGUUUGCUGUGAAGAGGCUUUCGGUGGGGUCUCAGCAAGGAAAGAUGGAGUUUGUGAAUGAGAUCGAUAUCAUCACCGCCAUUCGUCACAAAAAUCUUGUGAUGCUCGAGGGAUACUGUUGCGAGGGGAAUCAUCGGCUUAUCGUCUACGAGUUUCUCGAGAAAGGGAGCCUCGAUCAAACACUGUUCGGUAAAUGAAUCCAUCUUUCCUUUAAGCUCAUUGUAACUAGGUAGUCAUUGCCAGGAAAGAGUUUACUCUUAGAUUGGCCAGCUCGCUUCCAGAUUAUCGUGGGAGUGGCGAAAGGCCUCGCUUAUCUCCACGAGGAAUCACACGAACAGGUUAUACACCGGGACAUCAAGGCCAGCAACAUCCUCCUUGACAAAAUGCUCCAGCCGAAGAUCUCCGACUUUGGAAUCUCCAAGCUGGCGGGAGUGGAGAAAGAAAACACAACCACGAGAGUGGCCGGGACAGUUGGAUACAUGGCACCCGAGUACGUUCUUCGAGGGCGAUUAUCUUCCAAAGUCGAUGUUUUCAGCUUUGGAGUUCUUGUUCUCGAGAUCAUCAGCGGCAGGAAGUGCAUGGAUGACACACUUCCUGUGGAAGAAGAAAUCCUUGCGCAAUGGGCUUGGAGCCUCUUUGGUGCUGGAAAGCUCGAAGAAUUAAUCGAUCCUAGACUGGAAAAGUUUUACAUCGCAGAAGAGGCUCACCGAGCCACGCACGUCGCAUUGCUGUGUAGCCGAGAAUUUGAAGGGAGCCGGCCAACGAUGAGUGCCGUGGUUGCGAUGCUCAUGGGUUACCUCGAGCUAGAGCCGCUCACCACGGUAGACAGUCCCAACUACUUUGGACAGAUUCGCCACCAUGGUUGGACAACGACGACGACAACGACGACGUCUCAAACCGGCUCUUCUUACGCAGCUUCUCCCUUGACUGCUACGAGCGCACGCUAGUCAAAGUCUGCCACUCAUUUCAAAGUCUGCCACCUUUCUCGAAGCCUGAAACCUGGUGUCUCGCACUUUUGUUAGUGGCGGAAAAAGUGUGGAAGGACUCACGCUAUCGAAGAUUUCGCAGCAAAAUCAAAAGUGGCGAAUCUCGGCAAAGAUUGAUCAUAUGUCCAAGUGAAUUGUGUUUAAAGACUAAGUCAAGAAAGA